rnacentral:tRNA from 1 species
GGAAGGAUACAGCUCAGUGGUAGAGCAGAUGCCUAGCAUGCACAAGGUCAUGGGUUCAAUCCCCAGUGCCUCCA